rnacentral:rRNA from 1 species
GAUGAACGCUGACAGAAUGCUUAACACAUGCAAGUCUUUGGCGAAUCUGUGCUUGCACAGGCUUGCCAAGGCGGACGGGUGAGUAACGCGUAAAGAACUUGCCCUGCAGACAGGGAUAACAGACGGAAACGACUGAUAACACCUGAUACAGUUGCCGGCACGCAUGUGCCUGGCAAUGAAAAGAGAUGCUGCAGGAGAGCUUUACGUCCUAUUAGCUUGUUGGUGAGGUGACGGCUCACCAAGGCGAUGAUAGGUAGCCGGCCUGAGAGGGUGAACGGCCACAAGGGGACUGAGAUACGGCCCUUACUCCUACGGGAGGCGGCAGUGGGGAAUAUUGGACAAUGGGGGCAACCCUGAUCCAGCAAUUCUGUGUGCACGAAGAAGGUUUUCGGAUUGUAAAGUGCUUUCAGCAGGGAAGAAGAAAGUGACGGUACCUGCAGAAGAAGCGACGGCUAAAUACGUG